GGGCUAGGGGAGGGGCUUGGCUGGGAGGGUGACAGCAGCUGCUCAGGGGUCCCAGGGCUCACCCCCUCACCUCACAGCAGCUCAGGGGUCCCAGGGCUCACCCCCUUAUCUCACAGCAGCUCAGGGGUCCCAGGGCUCACCCUUCUCACCUCACAGCAGCUCAGGGGUCCCAGGGGCUCACCCUUCUCACCUCACAGCAGCUCAGGGGUCCCAGGGCUCACCCUUCUCACCUCACAGCACCUCAGGGGUCCCAGGGCUCACCCUUCUCACCUCACAGCAGCUCAGGGGUCCCAGGGGCUCACCCUUCUCACCUCACAGCAGCUCAGGGGUCCCAGGGGCUCACCCUUCUCACCUCACAGCAGCUCAGGGGUCCCAGGGACUCACCCUUCUCACCUCACAGCAGCUCAGGGGUCCCAGGGCUCACCCUUCUCACCUCACAGCAGCUCAGGGGUCCCGGGGCUUACCCUUCUCACCUCACAGCAGCUCAGGGGUCCCAGGGCUCACCCCCUUAUCUCACAGCAGCUUAGGGGUCCUGGGCUCACCCCCUCAUCUCACAGCAGCUCAGGGGUCCCAGGGCUCACCCUUCUCACCUCACAGCACCUCAGGGGUCCCAGGGCUCACCCCCUUAUCUCACAGCAGCUUAGGGGUCCUGGGUUCACCCCCUCACCUCACAGCACCUCAGGGGUCCCAGGGCUCACCCCCUCAUCUCACAGCAGCUUGGGGGUCCUGGGCUCACCCUUUCACCUCACAGCAGCUCAGGGGUCCCAGGGGCUCACCCUUCUCACCUCGCAGCACCUCAGGGGUCCCAGGGCUCACCCUUCUCACCUCGCAGCACCUCAGGGGUCCCAGGGCUCACCCUUCUCACCUCACAGCACCUCAGGGGUCCCAGGGCUCACCCUUCUCACCUCACAGCAGCUCAGGGGUCCCAGGGGCUCACCCUUCUCACCUCACAGCAGCUCAGGGGUCCCAGGGCUCACCCUUCUCACCUCACAGCAGCUCAGGGGUCCCAGGGCUCACCCCCUUAUCUCACAGCAGCUUAGGGGUCCUGGGCUCACCCCCUCAUCUCACAGCAGCUCAGGGGUCCCAGGGCUCACCCUUCUCACCUCACAGCACCUCAGGGGUCCCAGGGCUCACCCCCUUAUCUCACAGCAGCUUAGGGGUCCUGGGCUCACCCCCUCACCUCACAGCACCUCAGGGGUCCCAGGGCUCACCCCCUCAUCUCACAGCAGCUUGGGGGUCCUGGGCUCACCCUUUCACCUCACAGCAGCUCAGGGGUCCCAGGGGCUCACCCUUCUCACCUCACAGCACCUCAGGGGUCCCAGGGCUCACCCUUCUCACCUCACAGCACCUCAGGGGUCCCAGGGCUCACCCUUCUCACCUCACAGCAGCUCAGGGGUCCCAGGGGCUCACCCUUCUCACCUCACAGCAGCUCAGGGGUCCCAGGGGCUCACCCUUCUCACCUCACAGCAGCUCAGGGGUCCCGGGGCUCACCCUUCUCACCUCACAGCAGCUCAGGGGUCCCGGGGCUCACCCUUCUCACCUCACAGCAGCUCAGGGGUCCCGGGGCUCACCCUUCUCACCUCACAGCAGCUCAGGGGUCCCAGGGGCUCACCCUUCUCACCUCACAGCAGCUCAGGGGUCCCAGGGCUCACCCCCUUAUCUCACAGCAGCUUAGGGGUCCUGGGCUCACCCCCUCAUCUCACAGCAGCUUGGGGGUCCUGA
ensembl:lncRNA